AGGAGAUUAGCAUAGAUGGCCUAAUGCACCGGUCUUUGAAAUCGGUAUCGGUGGUUCGAAUCCACCAUCUCCUG
rnacentral:tRNA from 1 species